rnacentral:rRNA from 1 species
GAGUUUGAUCGUGGCUCAGAUUGAACGCUGGCGGCAUGCCUUACACAUGCAAGUCGAACGGCAGCAUGAUCUAGCUUGCUAGAUUGAUGGCGAGUGGCGAACGGGUGAGUAAUACAUCGGAACGUGCCCUGUAGUGGGGGAUAACUAGUCGAAAGAUUAGCUAAUACCGCAUACGACCUGAGGGUGAAAGUGGGGGACCGCAAGGCCUCAUGCUAUAGGAGCGGCCGAUGUCUGAUUAGCUAGUUGUGGGGUAAAGGCCCACCAAGGCGACGAUCAGUAGCUGGUCUGAGAGGACGAUCAGCCACACUGGGACUGAGACACGGCCCAGACUCCUACGGGAGGCAGCAGUGGGGAAUUUUGGACAAUGGGCGAAAGCCUGAUCCAGCAAUGCCGCGUGUGUGAAGAAGGCCUC